rnacentral:rRNA from 1 species
CCUACGGGAGGCAGCAGUGAGGAAUAUUGGUCAAUGGGCGGGAGCCUGAACCAGCCAAGCCGCGUGAGGGAAGAAGGUACAGCGUAUCGUAAACCUCUUUUGUCAGGGAACAAAGGCGGGGACUAGUCCCCUGAUGAGGGUACCUGAAGAAAAAGCAUCGGCUACCUCCGUGCCAGCAGCGGCGGUAAUACGGGGGAUGCGAGCGUUAUCCGGAUUUAUUGGGUUUAAGGGGUGCGCAGGCGGCCUGUUAAGUCAGCGGUAAAAGCCCGGGGCUAAACCCCGGCGAGCCGUUGAAACUGGCGGGCUGGAGUUGGAGAGAAGUACGCGGAAUGCGCGGUGUAGCGGUGAAAUGCUUAGAUAUCGCGCAGAACCCCGAUUGCGAAGGCAGCGUACCGGCUCCACACUGACGCUGAGGCACGAAAGCGUGGGUAUCGAACAGGAUUAGAUACCCGAGUAGUC